GACGAACGCUGGCGGCGUGCUUAACACAUGCAAGUCGAACGAAGAGCGAUGGAAGCUUGCUUCUAUCAAUCUUAGUGGCGAACGGGUGAGUAACGCGUAAUCAACCUGCCCUUCAGAGGGGGACAACAGUUGGAAACGACUGCUAAUACCGCAUACGAUCCAAUCUCGGCAUCGGGACUGGAUGAAAGGUGGCCUCUAUUUAUAAGCUAUCACUGAAGGAGGGGAUUGCGUCUGAUUAGCUAGUUGGAGGGGUAACGGCCCACCAAGGCGAUGAUCAGUAGCCGGUCUGAGAGGAUGAACGGCCACAUUGGGACUGAGACACGGCCCAGACUCCCACGGGAGGCAGCAGUGGGGAAUCUUCCGCAAUGGACGAAAGUCUGACGGAGCAACGCCGCGUGAGUGAUGACGGCCUUCGGGUUGUAAAGCUCUGUUAAUCGGGACGAAUGGUUCUUGUGCGAAUAGUGCGAGGAUUUGACGGUACCGGAAUAGAAAGCCACGGCUAACUACGUG
rnacentral:rRNA from 1 species